UCAACAAAGUAAGCUGAAGUAUGGCUGAAGCGAUAGGAAAGCACAAAUGAACAAGGAAUUUUUGACUUGGAAGACACAAUCAAUCAAAGGCUGCUUAAGUAUAGUCAUUAGUGGAGAAAAUACGUGGGAUCUGCUGACAAUACAAUAGAACAUCGGAAUAUUUUAAAUUUUCUUGUAACCUAAUAACGUAAAAAUGGCGCGCGUAAUAACUUGGACGGUGGGAGUUUUCCUUAUUGCAGUUAUUGUUACAACAACUGCAGAUAAAAAACAAGAUGAAAAACCUGCUUUUAAAUUGACAACUGUUCCUUGGGCGGCUGCUUUGGUUUGUGCUGCUGUACUGGGAGUCAUCAUCUUUUGUUUCUGUACUAAGAUUAUUAGUUUAGUUUUAAUUGCUAUUAUUAUAGCAAUUUGUGGUGGCUUAACUUAUCUUUAUCUCAAAUGAUUUUUCGAUAAACUCUGUUCAAAUUUUUACUUAACUGUCCAUACGCUUCAGGAUGUAGAUCUGCAUCUUAGGUAGUGAACUUUAAUUUAAAUGUAUGCAUGGAUCCAUACUAUACUAGCAUACUAAACAGAUUCAUUGUGAGAUGAAUAACGACAAAUUCAUGCUUCAAAUAUGACAACUAAUGAAGCUAGCUUUAUAUAUGUGGUAACUGGUUGUUAAAAUUUAAUCUAUUCAAUUACUACAAAGCAAAGAGUGCCAUCUUCUUCACCUAUCUAACUCUCGGACAUGACUUUUCUUAGACUAUACAUAUAAUUCAAUCAAUGAACAAAGAUUUGUUAGAAAUCAAACAUUGUCUAAACAUCUUAGUCCUAUAAACUGAAAUAGAUAUCAUAAACUAAAGAUAAAGUGACCAAGUCCACGGGUGGCCGAGGUGGGAAUCGAACCCACGUCUUCACCUUCAGCUUACGCGGCUAAUGUCCUGACCACUAGACCACUCGGCCACAGGGGUAGACUUGGUCACUUUUUCUUUAGUGUAUGAUAUCUAUUUCAGUUUAUAAUUUAUAUAUAGUAGUGUGACUACUUAAAAACACAAAUCAAAAUAUUUCAUUAAAUAAUUUGAUUUGUUCCCUAGUUGGAUCUUAGUCCUAGCAACAAACAUGUAUGUACAAGUUGAUGAACAGAAGAUGAUAGUUUCCCUCGGCUAUUUAUGGCCAGCCAUUGUUAAUUUGUCUUUAUCUCUAAAAUCACAAUUGGGGAUUGGGGCCUAAUUUUUACCUUAAAGUGUAAUAUUUAUAGGAUAAUUAUAUAUGUACUGAAUGCCGAGAAACACAAAUUAUAACUUGACCUUUCGUAUGCCUCGUUAUGUAUCCGUCCAAGCUACUUGGACUUUGAAUAUUAUAAGAUAAGAUUUAUUAUGUUGCUUCAACAGUUUUUUUUUUUACAAAGCAUUUGGUAAAUUUUUAAUCACUCAGUUAUUUUUAGGUAUUGUCAUUUUCUAUUGAAUAUUAAAUUCUUUGCAACCUUUCAUUAGUAGACAACUCAUGGUGAUUAGGAAUUUUCAUGCUUAAACAGUUAAGGUAAUGGCUGAGAUUUGUACAAUUGUUUUUUUACUAUUUCCUUUACCAUAAACAAUAAUUAAACAUAUAAUGUCAUAAAUAGGCUUUAUCCAACAAUGUCAAUAUAUGGCAUUUGAACACACACAAUAGUAGCUAUUUUAAACAUGGUGUUACAAUAAGUUGUCUUCUUUGAGGGUAUCUAAUCUUUAAAAACUACCCCAAAGCAAAUUUUAAAUUAUGUAUACCUAGGUAAUAAGUAUAUAGUAAAAAAUUUGAAAAAUCUGUUCACCUUGAAUAUUGAAUAUAAUUAUAUUCAUUACAUAUAAUUUAGUAAAUAUUUUAAUAUUUGUAUUUACUAAUGACUGACUUUUAAGUAGGUAGGUAUAGGUAUUGAAUAUCGAAAUAUUUAUUUAAUGAAUGCUGCAUAAUUUACUAAGUACCUGCUAACAUUUCGAAUAAGUAAGUAGAAUCUCUUCUUUUAAUAUUUUUUUGUGAUAACACUGUAAGUACAUUUAUGACUGUUACUUGUAGUAGAUGUAUUAUGCAUUGCAUGCAUAUGAUUUAUAAAACAAUAACUGUUGAGUUUAUUCAAUUAUAAUUAUGUUGAUUCAUUAGGUUAAACAAGUGGAUUAUAGCACAAUACUAAUAACAUAGGUAGGUAUUUCUUUACAAAUGGUUAAGGGGUUAAUAAAAAUAAGAUGAAUAAUUAGAUAAUUACUGUAUCCCUUUUGGAUAAUUAUACAUUUUAUUAUUUAUAAAUAUUAGGGUUUUACACCCUGGAUAUAAUAGUUGUAUUUUAGGCUAGGUAAAUUGAAACGCACACUUACUAAAAUAAUAAUAAACGGUUUGGUGACUUCUUCCAGAAA